AUUGAACGCUGGCGGCAUGCCUUACACAUGCAAGUCGAACGGUAACGCGGGGCAACCUGGCGACGAGUGGCGAACGGGUGAGUAAUGCAUCGGAACGUGCCCAGUAGUGGGGGAUAGCCCGGCGAAAGCCGGAUUAAUACCGCAUACGACCUACGGGUGAAAGCGGGGGACCGCAAGGCCUCGCGCUAUUGGAGCGGCCGAUGUCAGAUUAGGUUGUUGGUGAGGUAAAGGCUCACCAAGCCGACGAUCUGUAGCUGGUCUGAGAGGACGACCAGCCACUCUGGGACUGAGACACGGCCCAGACUCCUACGGGAGGCAGCAGUGGGGAAUUUUGGACAAUGGGCGCAAGCCUGAUCCAGCCAUGCCGCGUGCGGGAAGAAGGCCUUCGGGUUGUAAACCGCUUUUGUCGGGAAAGAAAUCUUCUGGGCUAAUACCCCGGGAGGAUGACGGUACCCGAAGAAUAAGCACCGGCUAACUACGUGCCAGCAGCCGCAGUAAGAC
rnacentral:rRNA from 1 species